UUGUACAUAAGUGUGUUCUCUGACCAUGUGAAAUGAAAUUACAAAUCAAUAACAGAAGGAAAUUUAAGACAUUCACAAAUAUGUGGUAAUUAAAUAACACACUCCUGAUUAACCAGAGUCCAGGAUUAAAUCACAAAGCAAUUACAAACUACUUUGUAAUGUCAAUAAUAAUUGCAUACAAUGAAAGAAGUGCUCACAUGAAAAUUUAUAGCUGUU